rnacentral:rRNA from 1 species
GUGGGGAAUAUUGGACAAUGGGCGAAAGCCUGAUCCAGCCAUGCCGCGUGUGUGAAGAAGGUCUUCGGAUUGUAAAGCACUUUAAGUUGGGAGGAAGGGCAGUAAGUUAAUACCUUGCUGUUUUGACGUUACCGACAGAAUAAGCACCGGCUAACUUCGUGCCAGCAGCAGCGGUAAUACGAAGGGUGCAAGCGUUAAUCGGAAUUACUGGGCGUAAAGCGCGCGUAGGUGGUUUUGUAAGGUGGAGGUGAAAUCCCCGGGCUCAACCUGGGAACUGCCUCCAAAACUGCAUGACUAGAGUACGGUAGAGGGUAGUGGAAUUUCCUGUGGAGCGGUGAAAUGCGUAGAUAUAGGAAGGAACACCAGUGGCGAAGGCGACUACCUGGACUGAUACUGACACUGAGGUGCGAAAGCGUGUGGAGCAAACAGGAUUAGAUACCCUUGUAGUCC